UACGUAGGGUGCGAGCGUUGUCCGGAAUUAUUGGGCGUAAAGGGCUCGUAGGCGGUUUGUCACGUCGGGAGUGAAAACUCGGGGCUUAACCCCGAGCCUGCUUCCGAUACGGGCAGACUAGAGGUAUGCAGGGGAGAACGGAAUUCCUGGUGUAGCGGUGAAAUGCGCAGAUACUCAGGAGGAACACCGGUGGCGAAGGCGGUUCUCUGGGCAUUACCUGACGCUGAGGCGCGAAAGCGUGGGGAGCAAACAGG
rnacentral:rRNA from 1 species